UACGUAGGGGGCAAGCGUUGUCCGGAAUCAUUGGGCGUAAAGAGCGUGUAGGCGGUCCGGUCAGUCGGUUGUGAAAGUCAAGGGCUCAACCCUUGAAUGCCGGCCGAUACUGCCGUGACUAGAGUUCGGUAGAGGAGUGUGGAAUUCCUGGUGGAGCGGUGAAAUGCGCAGAGAUCGGAAGGAACGCCCGUGGCGAAAGCGAGGUCCUGGACGUCUACUGACGCUGAGACGCGAAAGCUAGGGGAGCAAACGGG
rnacentral:rRNA from 1 species